rnacentral:rRNA from 1 species
UUUUAUGGAGAGUUUGAUCCUGGCUCAGGAUGAACGCUGGCGGCGUGCCUAAUACAUGCAAGUCGAGCGAACAGACGAGGAGCUUGCUCCUCUGACGUUAGCGGCGGACGGGUGAGUAACACGUGGAUAACCUACCUAUAAGACUGGGAUAACUUCGGGAAACCGGAGCUAAUACCGGAUAAUAUAUUGAACCGCAUGGUUCAAUAGUGAAAGACGGUUUUGCUGUCACUUAUAGAUGGAUCCGCGCCGCAUUAGCUAGUUGGUAAGGUAACGGCUUACCAAGGCAACGAUGCGUAGCCGACCUGAGAGGGUGAUCGGCCACACUGGAACUGAGACACGGUCCAGACUCCUACGGGAGGCAGCAGUAGGGAAUCUUCCGCAAUGGGCGAAAGCCUGACGGAGCAACGCCGCGUGAGUGAUGAAGGUCUUCGGAUCGUAAAACUCUGUUAUUAGGGAAGAACAAAUGUGUAAGUAACUAUGCACGUCUUGACGGUACCU